rnacentral:lncRNA from 1 species
UGGCACUUAUUAUUAUUGUUAUGCAUAUAUUUUAAAUUUAAACAUAAGAUAAUGUGUUUCCCCUCUUCAUUGCAUUAUUAGAGGUAAUCCAAGUUGGUUUAAUUUUCUAUAUUAGUUUAGUCUAAUAUGUGUGCAGGUCGAGUCAACCCAUUUCACAAACUAGUCCCAAUCUAUUCCAUGUGUGGACUACUUUCUCCCACAUGUGCAUGAAGCUAUCCAUUUCUUUGUCCACGUCAUAUUUUUCCGUGUGCACCAAGCUUCCCAACCUAGCAAAAUAGAGGCCUCUCCCAUUUUCUCCAUGGGUCCAAACUUCCUCUAUUUUAGAUUCAGGACCAAGCCCUUCCAACCUACCCGAGUGGACCCCAACCACUUUUCA